rnacentral:rRNA from 1 species
GAUGAACGCUGGCGGCGUGCCUAAUACAUGCAAGUCGAACGCUUGAGCUCUAUCUUUCUAGCUCGAAGGAGUGGCGAACGGGUGAGUAAUACAUAAGCAACCUACCCACGAAGUCUGGGAUAAUCUCUGGAAACGGGGACUAAUACCGGAUAGGUAAUCUGAAGUCUUCUUCUGGUUAUUAAAUGUUAAAAACACUGGUUGAUGGGCUUAUGGCGCAUUAGUUAGUUGGUGAGGUAACGGCCCACCAAGACGAUGAUGCGUAUCCGGCAUGAGAGGGUGAAAGGCCACAUGGGGAAUGAGAAACGGACAAGACUACUACGGGAGGAAGCAGUAGGGAAUUUUCGGAAAUGGGGGAAAACAGGACAGAGCAACGCAGCGUGAGUGAAGACGGCCUUCGGGUUGUAAAGCUCUGUUGUAAGGGAAGAAGGGUAGAUAGAGAAUAUCUAAGUGACGGUACCUUACCAGAAAGCAACGGCUAACUACGUG